rnacentral:rRNA from 1 species
CCCUUAGAUGUCCGGGGCCGCACGCGCGCUACACUGAAGGAAUCAGCGUGGCUUUCUCCCUGACCCGAAAGGGUUGGGAAACCCGUUGAAUCUCCUUCGUGAUAGGGAUUGGGGCUUGAAAUUGUUCCCCAUGAACGAGGAAUACCUUGUAAGCGCGGGUCAUCAUCCCGCGCUGAAUACGUCCCUGCCCUUUGUACACACCGCCCGUCGCUCCUACCGAUUGAGUGGUCCGGUGAGGCUUUGGGAUCUGAGCAAAAAGAGCGUUUCGCUCGUUUGGCUCGGAAAACUCAGUCGAACCUUAUCAUUUAGAGGAAGGAGAAGUCGUAACA